GCUGCCUGUAAGCCAGUCUUCUCCUAGCAGCCUUCAUAUAAGAUGUAGAGCUCUUAGCUCCUCUUUUUGCCACAUUUCUGCUCCUACAUUGAUGAUAAUGGACUGAACCUCUGAACCUGUAAGCCAGCCCCAUAUAAUUAUAUGCUGUCCUUGUAAGAGUUACCUUGGUCAUGGUGUCUGUUCACAGCAGUAAAACCCUAUCUAAGACAGUAUUUAACUCAGGCAUAUAUAUUGAUAUAUUUCUUUUUAUAUAUUUUUAGAUUGUUUUUUCAUUUGUUUUCUUUGUGUCACUAAGUAGUAUCCAAAUAUUUUUAAUAUUUGCACACUAUGCCAGUAAAUGGUUAUAUUAUCAUUUAUUUAAUCAACACUCUAUUGUCAGAUAAAGUUUUCUAUUCUUCACAAUCCUAAGAAACAUGAUAAACAUACUUGCUUCCAAAUUUGUAUGUAGAGUUUUGAUUACUUCCUUUAGAUCCUAGACAUACACUUUCUGGGAUAACAACAUGCAUGUUCUUGUAAGUUUUUGACACAUAUUGCUAAGGUACUUGCCAGGACACUGAUCCAGUUCCAUUCUUUCUGUGGUACCUUUUUGAGAAUUCCUUCUCAAGGGAAUGUUAAAACCCUGCAGUUCCUCCUUUCUGACCCCUGUCUCUUCUGUGAUCGUAGCAAACCUACUUCCUCCAGUGUCAGCUUUAUACUCAGAGCAACCAAAUCAUCCCUACCGUCAUUGAUGCUGCGAAUGAGGCAAUACUGUUUCAUCAUCAGCAAUUGAGUAUUUCAUACAGCCUUGCUGACUGAUGGAGCCUAAGACUGAGGCAGACUAACGUCUCACGCAACAGCCCGUUCUCCUCAGAGCAUCAAUGUGAGCCUGAGCGUCAGGAAGCCACUGGUGUAAGUUUCUCAUGAGUUCAAAUUGUACAUAAUCACAAAGACAAGAUGCACAUGGCAAAAACAUGUUUGUUUGUUUGCUUGUUUUACAUAGGGCAUAAACAGUAACAAUAGCCAGUUAUAGUGAAUAAUCUGAGGCAAACUCACUCCUAACUACCCCUGGGAGGGACAUGAAAGCCCCUUCCAAGAACAAUUCCAUGUUCUUGAAGAACCUGAAAUCACAAGACUCUUCACUAGUUUUCUUGGAGCUUUCUCACAAGCCCUCAGAAUUCUUCAUGCUUGGACCAGGUUUCAAUAAUAAAGAAACUAAAAUUCAUUAUUUUUUUCAUAAAUGGGCAUGUAACAUUUUAAAACUCUUAACCACAAAAAAAUUUUUCUGGAUCUGUAAUGUGGUUAAAAUACCAUUUGAAUACUAUCUUGUAAGCAUAAGUGUUAACAAGCAUUUUGUUUCCAAGUAAUAUCCAUUAUAAUAUUAGUAUCACUUCUUGAUUAUUUAUAAUUUUUAGCAUUAAUAAAAUAGUGUUCCAUUCAGUUCUUUAAUUUCUUGGGUGAAAGUUAAAGUUAUCUAUAGCAGAAUUGAAAUGGAACGGAAUAGACAGGUUGGUAAGUAUAGUCUAAUAAAAUCCAUUUUUCCCCAACUGUGUUUUAUUUGUAUAACCUGCAAUUUUGGUUCACAUCAGUAUUUUGUUUCAAUCUACUGGUUAUAUUCAACUAAUAAAAUAAUAAAGUUAUGUAUAAUAAUAACCCAUUCUUAUAAAAGUUUCAUUCACAGUGUGUUAUAUGUAACAGGAACCUAGAAAUUUUACAUUUUGUACACAUUUCAAGAGGCAUGAUUGUAGCAUAGAUGGAAAUUCUAGUGCACCUAUAAAGGACUAAAUAACUUUAUUUUACUUUUAUAAAGUUCAUAUGUAAACUAAAAUGUCAAAGGAGCAGUCAUUUUUCUGUAAUUUUUUUGAACAGUCUGUCCAGAAGAUACUUCAUUUUAAUUUUCACAGGAAAUGGUUUAGAGGUAUCUUUCUCAGCAGAGCCUCUUUCUAAGGGAUUUCCACUCAUAAAAUGGAUCAAGGGGAAGAAAAACUUUCCCACCUGUCUAUUUCUAGGAAGCCAGUGUAACUUCUCAGAUAAAGGACAGCAGUUUACCGUGUAUACAGAGCUCAGCACCCCCUUCAAUGCCUACUCUUUCCUUGAAGUAAAGAAAUAGUCCUGUCAUUUAAGACAUUUCCAGCAACUUACUAAUCCCUCACAUUAUGAAAUCACAGAAUUGCAGAUGCUCUGUGCCCAGAUUCUGAACUGAGUUCUUCAAAACUAAACCAGUUGCCAAGUAAGAAAGAGGUUGUAAAGCCUUUCAUCAUUUAACCAAGUAUUCAUAAGCAAAGAAAGGUUUUGUUUCUUGCUGUCUACAUACAAAAAGAAGUUGCUAAUAUUCACUGUAUCCUGGUGAAAUGCCAUAUUUAGAAACAACUUAUAGGCAGAAGGUUUAAUGGAUAUUUUAUAAGUCUGUUGUACUGCCAUUGAAAUAAUGUGGUUUAUAAUAUUUCUAUGGACACGGAGAAAUCAAAGCAUUUCUUAAUUGUGUAAAGCACAUUGCACUUUUUCAAGGCAAAGUAUUUGGCAUGGCAGACUUGCCAGUUUCAAUGGUCCUUCUCCCAUGAUUAAAGCUUUUAUAGGCAAUAGGUCCCUCACUGAAAAUAUACAGGUAGGAAAAGAGAAUCAAGACAAAUGGAUAGGGAAGGUGAUAGGCUUAAGAUGUAGUGUGUGGUCGUAGGAAAGGACCUCCAAUGAAAAGCAGAGAAUAUGAGAAGCAAGAGGAACAUAACAGUGCCUCCAGGAUUCAGACCAAGCUUACCAAACUCAUAGAGCUGGAGGAGGCAAUGACUAAACUGGGUCAGGUGGAUAAAUGAAUAUAAAGACCCUAAGUCACAGAUUGGUCCUUAGGCUCAGAAUGUGAAGACCCAAAGUCACAGGUUUGCUCAGCGCCUGAGAGAAAUUAUGCUUGUUUUGAAAGUCUCAGGACAGGAUAUUACCAAGUAAUGUCAACAUAGCAUCAGCUAAGUAACAUUAACAGUCAUGCCUACAAUCUGACUUAUACUAAAUUAUAAGAGAUAGUGCAGAAUAGCCUGUUCUCUACUAACCUCUUAGAUUUAGCUUGAACUCUCUGGUGAUUGUUCUAUGUAAGAGACCCUGGGCUGCUAAUGUUUCAGGAACAUGGUACUCUUACGUUUCCUGUUGUUGUUUUUAGCAUAAGUACACAGGGCUUUAGAUGUAUAUAUAUAAAACUGUAACUUUUGUUUAUGUUAUUUUCUCUAAGGAAGACCAAAAUUUUAAAUGCCUUUUUGCAUACAAACUUUGGUGGCCUUCAAGCCCCUGUCCUAGUUAAGACUCCAAGUGUAACUAUCAUGACUCUUAAUAUCUUGAUCUUUUGCACUUAAACCUCAUUUUUUUUUUCAGGGAACAUGAAAACUGUGUCCAUACCAGUUUAGCUUUUUCGUGGCUAGAAAAGUUUGAUUCAGCCCACACCUGUUCGUAAUUCCUUGCACUACAUGAUUCUUCCAUUUAUUCAGCAAAAUUUGUUGGGCUGCUCCCAUGCGAAGCAUGCUGUGUGAGCCUCACUGGACCGACCAGUCGUUUGUCCGGGGGGGUUGGAAAACACUUGUCCCAUUGCUCACUGCAGAGGAUAUUGGUCUGUCUCUUUACUCUCUACUGUCCACCCUUCCCUUGCUCUGAGCCUUUUUAAAAUAAGAUAUUACAAAAAAAAAUACUAUGGCCACCCAAGUUUUCUUGUUUUUAUUCUUCUCCAUCAUAUAUUUGAAGCAACUAUAAAAUGACUGGAAGAUGAUAAUUUAAUUUGACUUAAGAGUAAAUCUGGACUUAGGCCAGUACUGUGUGUGUAUAUGUGGGUAUACAUAUGUGUAUAAGGUCUGUAAGAUGUCUCCUUUAAUGAUCUACUUCCAGCACUGUUUUUAAGAAUUGUAUACAAACAUAUUUCUGUCUGUGCUAAGGCUUUCCAUAGGCUAUUUGUUAUACUGAUGGUACAGAGUCCUGACUGACUUAGACGGUUACUCAUUUCCUUCUUAGGGUUAAUGUAUUCAUGGAUUCUUAGAUCCUUCAUUACCAACAUUAAUCCUAUGUUCUAUCUAAAUCAUAGGGAGAGUUUUCUCAUUUUCCCUUUAAUUAUCGUUUUCAGGAGGGUCACUUUACCAGCACAUCUACAAACUAAAUAGUAGCUCAAAGUCUCAGAUUGUUCAGGCCUCGUGAACAGAGUAUGUAGCCUCAGGGAACUGCUGCGAUGCUCAGGUUGUCUAAAUCAAGUUCACAAGUCCCACGAACAGUCACUGUAAAGUUAGAAGGGACUCUAAAAUCACUAAAUUGCUGUUAAGUGUCAGGAUGAGCCACUUUAUUUUCUCAGAGAAAAAUGGCGUUUUCUUUUUAAGUAACUACCUGAUACUUAAGAUGGAGAAGCAGCUCAAAGCCACGCAGUACCCACGGAGUUUGUUGUGACUGGGCAGAGGCCUGUGGUAGUAGAGUACAAUUUAGGCAGCAUCCAUGAACAAAACUUGUCCAUAGUAUGACAGCAGCAUUGGCCUCUGCAGAACCUGAUACAUUGCUGCCCUUCCUGUUCCAGAUUUACAUUCUAAGCAGGUUCAGUUUCCUCACAAGUGAUGGCCCCAAGCUGCUGCACAUGGUUGUAGAAGUCAGGCAGGAUGGAUUGUGGAUGGAUUAAUGUUUGGUUUAUGUAAGUGCUGGGACGCUGAAGGAGUGGCUGUAUUACCCGGCAUCUUAACAAGCAGUCAGGUGCUUAGAGAUAAAAGGCCGAAACCUCAGGUAGAUAAGAAUACCUGCCCCAAAUGACAGACCUGAAAAGUAAGCUUCCUUUGGAGGAGAUUAGGCAAAAGCCAGCCAGGAGCAAAGGAGCAAACUUGUGAGCUAAAGUGUAUUGACAUGGCAUCUGGUUUAGUUUUGACAAACUUUUGCUAAAUGUGUGGGUGAUGGGGUUCGAAUCUGCCAAAUCGCAUGUUUUCGUGUUUAUAUGUAAACUGAGCAGAGAUCACAGGAAGGACCCUUUUCCUCCCUUACUGCUAGUCCUUCCUUCUUGCCUUCUCCUUCCUCCUUACCUUGUUUGCUCCCUCCCCACACUCCAAUCUAGAAAUGAGUUUCUAGGCAAGCAUUUUCACUAGCUUUCCUAAUGCUGGAGACAUAGCGUGUUCAAGUAAAUUGGAGACAAAGCAUAGCAGGGGCACUGAGCUCUUUUCUAGCGCCCUUCAUACAGUGUACAAUGUGAUCAUUCUCCUUAGCUCUAGGCCACAAACCAAGCAAGCAUUUCACACAGACCCAGGCUGGGUUUCUUGGGAAGUUCUCCCUGUUGCUUUUCAUAGUUUAGAUAAUCCACAUGAACAAUACUGAUUAAAUCAGUUGCCCGUGGGCAAUGGCAAAAGCAUAAAUGGCUUUCAGGAAAGAGAGACCUAAAACCUUGUGUUUGUGCGCUCUCUCUCUCUCUCUCUCUCUCUCUCUCUCUCUCUCUCUCUCUCU
ensembl:lncRNA